AGUGAACGCUGGCGGUAGGCCUAACACAUGCAAGUCGAACGGCAGCACAGUAAGAGCUUGCUCUUACGGGUGGCGAGUGGCGGACGGGUGAGGAAUACAUCGGAAUCUACCUUUUCGUGGGGGAUAACGUAGGGAAACUUACGCUAAUAUCGCAUACGACCUACGGGUGAAAGCAGGGGAUCUUCGGACCUUGCGCGAUUGAAUGAGCCGAUGUCGGAUUAGCUAGUUGGCGGGGUAAAGGCCCACCAAGGCGACGAUCCGUAGCUGGUCUGAGAGGAUGAUCAGCCACACUGGAACUGAGACACGGUCCAGACUCCUACGGGAGGCAGCAGUGGGGAAUAUUGGACAAAGGGCGCAAGCCUGAUCCAGCCAUACCGCGUGGGUGAAGAAGGCCUUCGGGUUGUAAAGCCCUUUUGUUGGGAAAGAAAAGCAGCAGGUUAAUACCCCGCUGUUCUGACGGUACCCAAAGAAUAAGCACCGGCUAACUUCGUG
rnacentral:rRNA from 1 species